ensembl:lncRNA
UGCCCUUGGGCCAGUCAUUUCCCCUGCCUAAGUCUGUUUCUUCAGCCGGCUCAACUUGAAUGUCUGAGUGUCCCCGAGCCUGUGUGUCUGACUCCCAGUCCGUAUGGAGCACAGCAGAACAAAAGCUUUUUUAAAACAAUUGUUAUUCACUAAGUCAGUAAAUUUCCCAUAUGGGGCUUGAAGUUGCAAUCCUCCUGCUUCAGCCUCCCAGAGUGCUGCGAUUACAGGUGUGCACCGCCAAGCCUGGUGCAACACAAACUCUAAAGCCAGCCAGCCCAUUUUUGUUAGAAGCCCCAAGGUGCCUCUUCUAAGUGAAGGAGCUCUGCCGAAUCCCAUUAUCUGGGACUGAGCAGGUUCGACACGACACACACAGUGCACACGGAGUGGGAGUGCUGGCUGCCACCGGUUGCAGGUGGGCCCGGGUGUGCAGGUGUGCCCACAUACGGCAGGCAGGUGGGGCUGAGGGCGAAUAUUGGUGUCUGCCACCCUGAGUCAGCCUUCAGGGUACUCUGGACCUUCGGUUUCCUCUCAGAGUCCAUUGUGUGACGUUCUGGAGUACAAGCACUUCUGCCUGCCUGCACUUCCUUGGAUCUUUUGGGAUUAUUUUUUCUUUUGUGGUCCUGGGGAUGAAACCCAGGAUGAUACACACCCCAUGCUAGACAAGCGCACAAAGCCAUCCCCAGCCCUGGAGCCAUUCUUGAAGUGAAGGUCACCUCCUUCUCUACUUCCAAAGGACUUUCACUCCCCGCCCCUGCGGUGAGUUGGGACCACUGUACCUGCGGGGAGAGGGGCCCCGAGGUGCUCUCACAGAGGGGAGACCGCCUGCUCCCCGUUCUUGCUGGUUUGUCCCCUUCCUUCCAUCAGUCUCCCCACUGCACUCCAGGGCUCUGGGAAAGUUUGGAUGCACCUUGGAGACCAGGCGGGUGACUGAGAGGGAGUCGGGGCCCGUGAACAUGUGUGCAUUCGUGCGUGCGUGCGUGCGUGCGUGCGUGUGUGUGUGUGCGCGCGCGCAUGAGUGCGUGUGUGUUGGGGGUUGGGGGAAAGGGUGGGAGAGAGAAGAAAUUUCUUCAAAUCAUCAGUUGCUGUAGAGGAAAGCCUAUAUUUAGCCGGGCUUAGAAGGCCUGUAAAUAUGUAUUUUGCAGUGCAGACAGCCGUAGCCAUGGGAGCUCCGGAGACGUGCAGGGAGGUCAAGGGAAAAGGAAAAAAGAACUGCAAAGAUUAGGCAAUGUGUUCUGCCAUCAGCAAAUUCAACGAACUCUUUCUACUGCCUGCUCCAACUGCUAAUAAUACACUUUUCAGUGUUUUGAUAGUUUCUAUUUUCAUCUGCUCUCUGGAUCUUAUGUAUUGGGUGCCCAAGAGGGGCUGGCUCCCAGUCAUCUUUUUGUUUUUUGGAUUUUGGCCUUUGCUUCUCUUUUCUUUUCUUUUUUUUUUUGAUACAAGUAGUUCUUUUUUUUGAGACUGGCCUUGAAUUCAUCAUGAUCUUCCUAUCUCAGCCUCCCAAGUGCUGGGAUUUCAGGAGUGCACCACCACACCUGGCCUGUUGCCUUCUCCUAUUCCACCCUCUCCCAUUCUUCUUUCUUUCUUUCUUUCUUUCUUUCUUUCUUUCUUUCUUUCUUUCUUCCUUUCUUUCUUUCUUUCUUCUCUCUCUCUUUCUCUCUUCCUUUUUGUACUGCGGAUUGAACCCAGCGCCUUAACACUGAGCUAUAUCCUCAGCCCUUUUUCCUUUUAAAAAAUCUCUUCUUCUUUCUUCUUCCUUUUUUUUUUUCUUUUGGUACUAGGGUUUGAACCCAGAACCCUGCACACGGUAGGCAAAUGCUCCACCACUGAGCUACAUCCCUAGCCCUUUUUAUUUUGGAGUAGGGUCUCCAUAAAUUGCCCAGGCUGGCCUCAAACUUGCAAUCCUCCUGCCUCAGCCUCCCUCCCCAGUAGCUGGGAUGACAGGCGUAUGCCAACACAGGCGAGUCAGAGUCAGCAUCUUCUGCCAGCCCUUGCCCAUCUGACCUGUGUCAUCAGAAGAGGAUCCUGCCCGCUGUCUCCCAUCCCAACUGGCUGCACCAGGCUCUGCUCCUCUACCCCAGUGUCCGCCACACGUGCAGCCUCCAGGCCAUCUGCUCUUGGUUCUGCCAUACUUGUCCUUUGCACUUCGGGUGACCUUGAGGGUGAAGAGUGGGAUGAGAAAUCCGACACUUCCAGGCAGUUUUUCUUCAGACCCAUCUUCUUUCUAAUAAAAAAGAAAAAGAAUUAGUCCAUAGGGCCGGGAUUUAGCUCAGUGGUUUCGCUGCCUGCUGCACAAGUGCAAGGACCUCAGUUCCAUCCCCGUACCAAAAAAAAAGAGAGAAUUAGUCCAUAUUUUUACUUUUAACUUGAAAGGCUUCUUGGGAAAUAAGGACAGUUCAGAGAAUCGCAUCACCAGCAACCUUCACCCGUGGGACCAUGGGUCAUUCUUGCUCCAGCUGUUUCCCUUAUUCAAAAAAGUGAACGUUCAAGUUGGUGAAGCCCCCCCUCCCCAUUCUGCUUCCGGUCCCCUCCAUUCUCACAAGUUUACAAUACAUCCUUAGAAGCCCAUCAUUCUGUAUUAUUAUUUUUUAAACUGUAGUAAACUAUACAACAACUCUCCACAUUAACCACAUGUACAUACGCAGGUGACAUUCAGAGCAUUCACACUGCUGUUCAGCCAUCGACAUCACCCACCUCCAACACUUUCUUCCCAAAUUACAACCCCACGCCUCUAACAGUACCUCCGGCCCCUCUCCCCUGCUGCCCCACGACCUCCUGUGCUUGUCGGGCUCCCCUGUGCGUGACCAUGGCAGGCGUCACAUGUGAGUGCAGUCACACAGUUUGCUCUUCAGGAACUGGCUUACCUUGCUUCACAUGAUGUCUUCACAGUUCAGGUAUGCAGUGGCAUGUGUCCGGAUGUUCCUCUUUUUAAAGUAGAGCCCAUAAUUUCUUAUUUUUCCUGUACAUUUAAAUAUUCAUAAAGCAGCAGUGCUUUCUAUAUUUUUAGUUUAUGUAACAAGCAUCAUACUACAUGUACCAUUCUGUACCUUUUCCCACUCUAUUUUUAUUUUGUUUUGUUUUGUUUUUUGGUGUUGCUAUGUAGCCCAGGUUGGCCUCAAACUCAGGGCAAUCCUUUUGCCUCAGCCUCCUGAGUGUUGAUAUGUUUUUUACAAGGGAGCCACGGUGACACUUAUGGCUUUGGCUUGACCAUUUUAAUUUACUAUUUUAGCAUGUGAAUCAGCCACAGUUUAUGUAUCAGUUCCUCUGCUGAUGGGUGUUUAGGUUGUUCCUGUUUUGCUGUUUGCUAUUGUGAGCAGAGCUGCAUUGAGCACCCUCAGCCUGAGCUCUAGACUCAUCUUUAGGGUGUCUGCCCAGGAGCAGAAAUCUGGGGUAGCAGGGUAGGGUUCCUCCCUGCCUAGUACUGCCAAACUACUCACUUCAGCACUGAACCCAUUUAUCUUCCCACCACCACCAUUUGAACAAGAUUGCUUUGUUUAGAGGUGGGUAUGGUGACGCACACCUAUAAUUCCAGCAUGCAAGAGGCUGAGGGAGGAGGGAGAGGGAGGGAAAGGGAGAAGGGGACAGAGAGGUCUGCUCUGGCCACACCGUUGCCAACACUUGCUCUUGCUAGACUUAUUUUCACCAGCCCGAUGCAUGUGAAGCAGACUCAUUGGAAUCUGCCUCCCUACCUGUGAUGUCAAGUGUCUUGACCUGCUCUCUGGUCACCCGGCUUCCUCUGGAUUCUCACUGAUGUCCAUACCCUUUGUUAGCCUGUGGUCACUUUAAGUAGAAGCUACAGAAAGCCCAAGUACAGUGGUACCUCGGUUCAUGAACUUAAUUCUUUCCACAAUUCUGGUCAUAAACCAAAUAAGACAAGAAGCAAAUCCAACUUUCCUGUAAGGUCAACAUUGAACCUAACCAUUGAAUUCGAUUCUGUUCUUGUCCAAUUCAGUUUGUGACCAGAAU